AGCUUGCUCCCUGAUGUUAGCGGCGGACGGGUGAGUAACACGUGGGCAACCUGCCUGUAAGACUGGGAUAACUCCGGGAAACCGGGGCUAAUACCGGAUAACCCGUUCCACCUCAUGGUGGAGCGGUAAAGGAUGGCCUCUGGCUAUCACUUACAGAUGGGCCCGCGGCGCAUUAGCUAGUUGGUAAGGUAACGGCUUACCAAGGCGACGAUGCGUAGCCGACCUGAGAGGGUGAUCGGCCACACUGGGACUGAGACACGGCCCAGACUCCUACGGGAGGCAGCAGUAGGGAAUCUUCCGCAAUGGACGAAAGUCUGACGGAGCAACGCCGCGUGAGUGAUGAAGGUUUUCGGAUCGUAAAGCUCUGUUGUUAGGGAAGAACAAGUGCCGUUUGAAUAAGGCGGCACCUUGACGGUACCUAACCAGAAAGCCACGGCUAACUACGUGCCAGCAGCCGCGGUAAUACGUAGGUGGCAAGCGUUGUCCGGAAUUAUUGGGCGUAAAGCGCGCGCAGGCGGUCUCUUAAGUCUGAUGUGA
rnacentral:rRNA from 1 species